AGUGAACGCUGGCGGCAGGCCUAACACAUGCAAGUCGAACGAACCUUCCGGGGUUAGUGGCGGACGGGUGUGUAACACGUCGGAACGUGCCUUUAGGUUCGGAAUAACUCAGGGAAACUUGUGCUAAUACCGAAUGUGCCCUUCUGGGGCAAGAUAUAUCGCCGUUAGAGCGGCCCGCGUCGGAUUAGCUAGUUGGUUGAGGUAAAGGCUCACCAAGGCGACGUUCAGUAGCUGGUCAGAGAGCAUGAUCAGCCACAUUGGGAGUAGGACACAGCCGAAAAUCCUACGGGAAGGAGGAAUGGGGAAUCUAGCGAAACGGGGGAAGGGCUGACGCAGCCAGGCCGGGUGAAUGAUGAAGGUCGUAGGAUUGAAAAGUUCUUUCACCGGGGACGAUAAUGACGGUACCCAAAGAAGAAGCCCCGGCUAACUUCGUG
rnacentral:rRNA from 1 species